GACGAGUGGCGGACGGGUGAGUAAUGCUUGGGAACUUGCCUUUAGGUGGGGGAUAACAGUUGGAAACGACUGCUAAUACCGCAUAAUGUCUACGGACCAAAGGGGGCUUCGGCUCCCGCCUUGAGAGAGGCCCAAGUGAGAUUAGCUAGUUGGUGGGGUAAAGGCCUACCAAGGCAACGAUCUCUAGCUGUUCUGAGAGGAAGAUCAGCCACACUGGGACUGAGACACGGCCCAGACUCCUACGGGAGGCAGCAGUGGGGAAUAUUGCACAAUGGGGGAAACCCUGAUGCAGCCAUGCCGCGUGUGUGAAGAAGGCCUUCGGGUUGUAAAGCACUUUCAGUUGUGAGGAAAGGUUGGUAGUUAAUACCUGCCAGCUGUGACGUUAACAACAGAAGAAGCACCGGCUAACUCCGUGCCAGCAGCCGCGGUAAUACGGAGGGUGCGAGCGUUAAUCGGAAUUACUGGGCGUAAAGCGCACGCAGGCGGCUUGUUAAGCUAGAGGUGAAAGCCCCGCGCUCAACGUGGGAACUGCCUUUAGAACUGGCAGGCUAGAGUCUUGGAGAGGGGAGUGGAAUUCCAGGUGUAGCGGUGAAAUGCGUAGAUAUCUGGAGGAACAUCAGUGGCGAAGGCGGCUCCCUGG
rnacentral:rRNA from 1 species